rnacentral:lncRNA from 1 species
UGGUUAAUCGACAGAACCACGUGGAAAAUAUUGUGGCGAUACUGAAUGCUACAGUCAGACAGCUAACUACCGAAAUCAAACAACAGGCAGCAACAAAUCAGCAGCAGAAGAAAACCAUUCAGCAACAACAGUCUUCAACUCAAUAACAACAGAUGUCGAUCCAACAACAAAAUACAUCAAUCCAAAAACACCAGACAUUAAUCCAACAACAACAGGUUUUGAUCAAACAACACGAACAUACAGUUAAGCAGUUACAAGGAUCAAUUAUCAGUAUUCAAA